rnacentral:rRNA from 1 species
UACGAAGGGGGCUAGCGUUGCUCGGAAUCACUGGGCGUAAAGCGCGCGUAGGCGGAUUGCUAAGUCAGGGGUGAAAUCCUGGAGCUCAACUCCAGAACUGCCUUUGAUACUGGCGACCUUGAGUCCGGGAGAGGUGAGUGGAACUGCGAGUGUAGAGGUGAAAUUCGUAGAUAUUCGCAAGAACACCAGUGGCGAAGGCGGCUCACUGGCCCGGUACUGACGCUGAGGUGCGAAAGCGUGGGGAGCAAACAGGG